AGAGUUUGAUCAUGGCUCAGAGUGAACGCUGGCGGCGUGCCUAACACAUGCAAGUCGAACGAGAACGGAUAUAAGUUUACUUAUAUUGUCAGCUAAGUGGCGCACGGGUGAGUAAUAUAUAGUUAAUCUGCCCUGAAGAAGAGAAUAAUUGUUGGAAACGACUUGUAAUGCUCUAUAUGCCUUUAUCACAUAAGUGAGCAAGGGAAAUAUUUAUAGCUUCGGGAUGAGACUGUACGGUAUCAGCUAGUUGGUGAGGUAAUGGCUCACCAAGGCUAUGACAUCUAACUGGUUUGAGAGGAUGAUCAGUCACACUGGAACUGAGACACGGUCCAGACUCCCACGGGAGGCAGCAGUGGGGAAUAUUGCACAAUGGAGGAAACUCUGAUGCAGCAACGCCGCGUGGAGGAUGACACAUUUCGGUGCGUAAACUCCUUUUAUUAGGGAAGAUAAUGACGGUACCUAAUGAAUAAGCACCGGCUAACUCCGUGCCAGCAGCCGCGGUAAUACGGGGGGUGCAAGCGUUACUCGGAAUCACUGGGCGUAAAGAGCAUGUAGGCUGAUUAGUAAGUUGGAAGUGAAAUCCUAUGGCUCAA
rnacentral:rRNA from 1 species